CACAUAAUCACCACCUACUUUUAAGCUCUGCCUGGAAGACUGCAGGUUGCCAGAUAAUUCCAGCUUUCAGAGCUGCAACUUGGCCAAUCUCUAGCAAAGUAAUUGUAACUUUGAUGAAUAUUUACCUGCGAUUGAACUUACCUGUGUCUAAUCUCCGCUUCCCUCCUUUUCUCCUCCAGUGCCUUCACCCACCACCAGCGUUGCCCAACCUCUGCCAUGACAUCAAGCCCUCACUCUGCCUCCCCCCACCCUCACUGCCUGGACCUCAGAUUUCAAUUCCCCAACUGUCUAUACCAGGGGUUCUCAAGUAGAAAUGUAAAAGGUCCAGAAAAUAAAUUUUGAGGAAGUCAUAGGUCCACAUCGCGUGUGUGGCGGCGAAACAUUUUGGGUUAUUUUUUUUUCCCUUUUUUUCCCCCUUUUUUAUGUUUUUAUGUAGUUUUAUGCUGGUUGUACUGUACUGUAAUAAUCAGGAGUUAUUGGAAGGCACAAAAACAUUCAUAUUCAGCAUCAAACUGAUAUUCUUUCUUACUUAGAAUUACUCAAUAAAAUAAAAUAAGCUUUUUAUUUUAUCUGUUUGUAGCUCAGAUUUUGGGGGGCAAUCUCUAUCAAAAUCGCUUCUCAUAAUGGCGUUUUAUGUUUACACUUUUUAUCAGAGCAACAGUGCUUUGCACAAAAGACACACUGGCUUUGUGCUUGAAGGAGGUAAGAUAAUCAUAUAUUAUCGGUCCAUUCGUCAGUGAAUCAGUGAUUUUCAGUGUCGGGUGCUGGGUGUGAGCAACAGUCCUGCUGCGAAGACAUUACCGCUGCCUGCGCCGUGCAAAGAAGACGGACUGAAGGAGGAAGAGGUGUGACUGCCGGUUUGUGUAGUUAUCAGCCAAUCAGCGCAUCGUUGUCAUGGGAAUGGAAGCCCAUAAUGCAAGCGUGAGCACGCGCACAGUCGCACACACACGCUCUCUCUCUCUCUUGGCCAGUCUAACC